ACAGACUAGUAAUACUAGACUCUGUCUGCUUAUGGUGACGACUUACUCAGAGAUACAGAAAGUCACUAAAUAAAAAGCUUUAUUUCAAGGUUGCCAUAUAAAUACUUUGCAGUUACCUGUGCUGUUAACCCCAAGAGCUUGGAUCAGGCUCUCCUGACACAUCAGAGAGGCUGCCGAUGCCCCACAGUCCUGGCCAGGGCCCGCCCCUGAGCCCCAUGAGAAACGGCUCUCAUCAGACUGCGAGUGUCAGCAAAGGGGUGGGCGUGAGCAUGACCCUGAGCCUGACCUUGAGCCCCGACCACACACCCCAUGCUCUGCAGAGCUGGCUAAGAAUCACUGCUGUAGCACAGCAUACUCGCCAAUGCUAUGCAGAGAAUGGGAGCGUUUUGAGAGGCAACCACACCCCCAUGAGCCUUCUCCACAGCCCGAGUGAGAUGACCCAGAGGAGCUGCAGGAGCGGAGGAGGGAGAGCUUAACACUCCGUGCUCACGCAGUCGGUCAAGAACAACCCAGGUGCUCACCAACUGUCGCAACAACAAGAAGCUCCUGGGCGGAGCGACACGGUGCUGGAGAAGUGAAGGAGAUGUGGCCCGAGGGCCCCGAGAGUGGCGAGGCAAGAAGUCCAAGCCAGUCCACAAGGAACCUGCGCAGGGACUCGGCCUUUGUGGUCCUGCGGAACCCACUCAUCGCUGGCAAGUAGGGGUUCCUCCCUGCUGUCAAAUUCACUCCCCCGUCCUGCAAAGACCUGCCCUUCAACAGGACAACAAUAAAAUCCUGUGUUUUUUCUAGUGGGGAAAAAAUGAUGGUAAAAAUAGUCUUUAUGGGCAAUUCAAAAAAAUUCUACAAGAUGGAGACCUAGGCCUCUCGAGAAAGGCCUCUGAAAGGUCACCAUGAAUUCAGAUAUCCUAUCCCUCUCCACCAUGCCCUUUGCAGAACAGGAAACCGGGUUAUCUUCCAUGGAAAAGGGAAAAGGCUUUCUUAUUGAAUGGCUCUGUAAUAGGGUUUUCUUGCUGCUUCACAUCACAAAUACUGGCCACGCUCACCUGUCACCUGAAUGACUAACCCUUCCCCAAUUAGGAUUGGUGCUGGCAAAGUGCCAGCGUGGCAUUCCCUUGGCAACUCCAGCGAAGAUUUGAGCAGCGGCAAGGUUACGAGGGGAAGUUACAAAAGACUCACCUUAGAACGCACAAAAGUAGGCAAGACAAUGGUUUCCCUGACUGUGGGCAUAACUAGCAUUUAAACAAGGGUCGUAAGUAGGAAAAAAGGGACAUAAGUGAGUCUUUACAUUGGGGGUGGGGGGACUCUUGUUUAUCUCUCCAUGUUUCACUACCUUCAUCAUGGAAGUUUCCUUGGAUUGCUAGAAUCUAUCUGAGAAACAAUCCUCAGCAGGUCUGAUACAAAGGAAGAUAUGGUAUUUUAAAAAUACUACCACCACCACACUAGCUGGUUUGGCUGAGUGGAUAGAGCAUCAACCUGCGGACUGAAGGGUCCUGGGUUCGAUUCCAGUCAAGGGCAUGUACCUCGGAUGCAGGCUCCCAGCCCUGGUCAUGGGCAUGUAGGAGGCAACCAAUCGAUGUGUCUCUCUCACAUCAGUGUUUCUCUCUGUCUCUCCCUCUCUCACUCUCUCUAAAAAUCAAUGGAAAAAUAUCCUCAGGUGAGGAUUUAAAAAAAAAAACACCACCAUCACCUCCUAUGAUCCAUCCCUCGCCCCAAAAGAGAGAGGAGCAGGGAAGGAAAGAGGGGGAGGGGAAAAGGGCGGAGAGAAAGGAAAGCGGAGCUCCUACCUGCCCUCUGGUGGGCAGGUCUUUCACGCUGUCGGGUUUGAAGAAGGUGAAGUCGACCAUGGCCUGGAACAAGGAGACGGCCUUCUCCGCGUGCCCGGCCUGGCGCAGGAAGUGGCACUGCUGAAGAAAGAGCGCUGAACGCGGCAGAGAACUCUGGUUAACACCGAGGAAAAAACAACCUGAUUCCUAAGAUACAGUAAAACACCGAGAACAUCUCCCUGAAAUCAGUUACUGCUGAAAUUUCUAAGCUGUGAUACCUACAUGUCCUGAUUUAAAAGGACUCACAACAGCUCUGUAAUCAAAGUAUAUUCAUUUAAUUUUUAUAUAAAACCACCACAGAAUACUAAUAUUAACAAUAAAAACUACAUAUACAUAAGUGUAAGGCAAGAGGUUGGUCUGAAUAUUGUUAUCAAAAACUCAAAGGAUUGUUUCUCAGACAGAUUCUAGCAAUCCAAGGAAACUUCCACAAUGAAGGUGGAGAACCAUGGAGAGAUAAAACGAGUCCCCCCCAAUACAAAGACUCACUAAUGUCCCUUUUUUCCUUUACUUAUGGCCCUAGUUUAAAUGCUAGUUAUGCCCACAAGAAGAUUUCUACUAAAGGAUGGCAUGGUACAUUUUUUUUUUUACCAGAAAGCCAAGACCCAUGCUCAGUGGAUCACUAGAUGGCAUUAUUCACCAGCAAUUUUCAUCCUGUGCUCAGCGUCAGCUGUAACCAAAUCAAGGUUCCACGCCUGAACAUUUCAGUUUGCCUUAAGUGUGGUGCAGUUCCACUUACUAAGUCAUGUUGAGCUAGUUGAGCAUAUCACAAAUGAUAGCACACACGAGGCUUGUUAUGCCAGUGUGUAAAUGCUUGUUCUCUCUAGAGCAGUGGUUCUCAACCUUGGCUGCACAUUAGAAUCACCUGGGAAUCUUUUUAAAAUCCUGAUUUCUGGGCCUCAUCCUCCGGAAAUUCUGUUUCUUUGUUAUGGGGUGGGGCCACAACAUUAGUAAGAAAGAAACAGAAUUUCCGGAGGAUGAGGUCCAGAAAUCAGGAUUUUAAAAAGAUUCCCAGGUGAUUCUAAUGUGCAGCCAAGGUUGAGAACCACUGCUCUAGAGCAAUAUAUUUACAUCUUUAGAAGUUCACUGUAAUCGCAGGGUUUUGACCCAAUAACUGCCUGUGGUGUGCCAGACACUGAGCUAGACUCACCAUAUAUUUUCACCAUAUAACCCUGUAAGCAGGUAGCAUACUAUCGAUGCUGAGGGAGAAACAAGAGCUUAAACAGGUUAAGGAACUUACCCAAGGUCAUACCAGAACCACUGAAGGGCAAGCCCAGGAUUCAAGUCAAGAGCGACAUUCUCUAGCUCCUGCAUAACAUGCUGCCUCUGAUAUGUCACUACUGGACAAAUUUAUAUUCUAGGCUCCUUCGGGACACACCAAAAGGCUAACCAUAUAAUCCCAGUAACCUCUAAACUGAUGCAAAGAUUUCCAGUCAGUGAGGACAUCCCACAAGCAUUACUGCCCGAAACCCUAGGACUGGAGGUGAUGAGCAGCACAGGUACCUCAACAGACCAGGCCGUUGGCAGCCAAAGUUAUGAGUGUUGACUGUACCUCCCUGGUUAAUAACCAGAGAAGCUGAAACUUCUAGGCCAGGGAUAAUUUCCUAACUCUACUGUCUCUAAUGCCCUUACCACCACCACCAAGAAGCUGGAGGGGGAAGAAUCCAUCAUGGUCAAAAGGAGUCAAAAUAGUUUUUUUCUUGAUUAAUCAGUUUUAUCAAUGUAUCAAUCAGGUUUAUCAACUUCGACUCUUUUAAAGUAAAUCAAAAUAAAUCUUCAUUUUCAAUGAAAGUCAAAAGCAUUAUUCCCUGCCCAACAGGUGUGGCUCAGUGGUUGAGCACUGACCCAUGAACCAGGAGGUCACGGUUCAAUUCCCAGCGAGGGCACCUGCUCAGGUUGUGGGCUCAAUCCCCAGUAGGAGGCAUGCAGGAGGCAGCCAAUCAACGAUUCUCUCAUCAUUGAUGUUUCUAUCUCUCCCUCCCUCUCCUUUAAUUAAAAAAAAAAUUUUUAAAAAGGCAGCAUCAUUCUCCCACGUAAAUGGAUCUGGUCACCAUCUCCUUACCAAACAUGGCCUCCUCGGUGCCAGGCAGCUCAGGGUGAGACAAGAUGCUGCCGUCCUUCACAGCAGACAAUGUACUCAAGCACUUCCCAUAAAGGCUGUGAAUUUUUGAUAUUGAAAAGGUGCUGAACUGGCUCUGGCAAAACAGAAGGUAUUUCUGCCAAAGGGCUGUAUUGUUGGGGUGUAGGAAUAUCAGCUUCUGCCACUCUUUGACCAGCGUGGAGGGCUCCCAGAACUCCGUGCAGAGCUUCAGCUUGGCGAGCUUCAGGUCCACGCUGCUCGGGUUGCUGUCGAUGGCCCGCUCCAGAAUGGCCAGCUUCUUCUCCAGGAUGAGCUUCAGGGACCGCUUCCGCUUCUCCUGCUCGCCUUCCUCGAUGGCAUACAGGCCAGGGCUCCUCAUGACCUCGUCCUCAACAACAAAAACACCCAUUUACAAAUGCACGGGGAACUGCACCUCCGGAUCCCAGCUGCCCACACGCCCCAGAGGGUUCCUCAUCUCUCAAAAGGCUCUGCUAUUUGGACUUUGUUGAUAACCACUAGUGUAUCACAAUUUCUCCUAAUGGCAGCUCAGUUCCUGGGGUACCUGUGCCACCUCGUAUACUGAUCUUGUAUUUAUUUCACCUGACUGACCUGCCUAUUGGCAUUUAAAACUUAGAUUUAUGUAUCAAUAACUAGCAUGCAAUGCCUUGAAAUCCUUUUCUGGAAUCAACUUGACCAUUAAAACAGUCAAAUGAGGGACAAAAUAUAACUGUAUAAGUUGUUCAAAAAAAUGUAGGUGGAACUAAGACAACCCAUGUACUUUAGAAAGGGCGCACGUAGCCCUAAGGAGGUAACUCAACGAGCAGCCCUUCUCUCCACAUUCUGCGCUCUCCGCGUGGUCUGUCUGCACUUCCCCAAGGCCUCCCCCUCCUGGCGAGCAUCCACUCUUCCCUCAAGAUUCUGCUCAGAUCUCACCUUCUCUUGGAAACCCUUUCUUACUCUCUAUGGCAAGUCACUCCCUCACUCCAUCCCCGAAUUACACGUGAAGGCGUUUACCUCCCCAGAUGCAUGGCUCUUCACACGCCAGUCCUCUCCCUGCACUCUGGGCACGCUCAGGGCAAGGGCUAUAGCGUAAUCAUCUUUACAUGCCCAGUGCCUGGGUUCCUCCUGGGAGCUCACAGGGCACAUCGCUUUGCCAACAUGAGCACUGCCGUGCUAUGUGAGGCAGGAGGGGGACGGUGAUGCUUACCUGAAAAGCGACGAACGCCAUCCACAGCUGAGUAUCCCGAGGGUUCUCCCGCACCCUCCGGUUGAACUCCUCCACCCUGGCCUUGAGAAGCGCGUCCUCACGGUCCGGCUGGGAGUCUGGCUGCUUGGAUUCCUGCUCCGAAGGACCUUGUCCCUGUAACCACUGGGUGGUGGAUUGAUCAUAAAUCCCCAGAGGGUUCAGCCAGGUUGUAACAGGAGGAGCCACAUCGUCCGAGUCCUUCACUGGGAUGAAGGAGAGGGGCGCAGACGAGGGAGGGUCAGUUUGACUGCUCACGGCGACUCCGUCAGCGUUCAUCAGCCCCACGUUCUUCUUCGUGAAAUAGCGCUCGAUGUGCUUCUGCGCACGCUUCUUUCCCGUGGGAGCCCCCUCCCAGGAUAUGCACUGCUUCUUAGGGUUAAUGCCAAGGCAGGAGUCUCCUUUCCUCUUGUAUCUUAAGUAUGAAAAAGAAAAAGUUAUUGAGGAAAUAUGUGCACUAACUCUGAAUGGGUGAAGGCUCAUCACACUUAAAACUCUUGUUAUGCAAGUUAAAUGCAUAUGUGCAAAUUCACCUUACCUUCAAACUGUCUCUACUGAGGAAAAUAGGAGGAUUAGCAGUGAACUUUUUCUGUCCAUGUAACUUAUUCCUCUAACACUUCAAGUCUCCGUUGACGUCUCACGAAUUUAAGCUCAUGCCUGCCUCCUGGAUGGUGGUAAUUUACACUUCCCUGGAGCUUUGUAGUUCAAGUCCUGUCACCUACAUUAUGUCGUUUGAUCACAAUCACAGGCGACAGGCAAGGCAGGAACCAUCAUCCCCCCCUUACUGUUCCUAAAUAAGGACACUGAGACCUCAGGUGACACCAAGUCAUCUGUCUCCUUUCCCUCAGUGUGGUCCUGUGUCCCUACUUAAAAAGAUAACAUAUAGGUCUAAGAUUCUUUUUUAAUCCUGAAACUAAGUGUGUCAAAUAAAAUUACAUCUGGCUAUUUUCUCCUCGGGAGGAAAAGAGGCUGGGUUCUGAAAUGCUUUUAUGGAACGUGUAGGCGUCCCCAGAGUUAGGAACACAUGACUACCGACUAGCUGCACAAAAGCUCAGGAAAAUGGUGCACUUCUCUGUAUACAUGUUAUAUAAACAACCCAAUUUAAAAAUGGGCAAAAGAUCUGAACAGAACUCAUAAAAGAAGACAUGAACGGCCAAUAAGCACAUGAAAAAAGUGUUGGACAUCAUGAGUCAUCAAGGAAAUGCAAAUUAAAACCACGAAGAGAUAGGCCACAUACCCUUCAAAACAGCCAAAAUUAAAAAGACUGACAAUAUCAAAUGUUGGUGAGUAAUCUGCGGAGUAACCAGGACCCCCAUAUGCUGUCGAUGGGAAUAUACACUGGUACAAGCACUUUGGGAAAAGGUCUGGCAGUUUCUUUAGAAAACUAAGUAUAGACCUACCCUAUGACCCAGUAAUUCUAUUCCUAGGUAUUUACCCAAGAAAAAGGAAACCACAUGUCUACACAAAUACUUGUGCACAAAUCUUCUCAUAAGCUUAUUCACAACAGCCAAAUACUGGAGGGAGUCCAGGUGUCUGCCAACUGAAGAAUGAAGAACCAAACGGUGGUAAAUGCUACGACACGGAUGAAACUCAAAACCAUUUCGCUGAGUGGAAGGAGCCAGACACGAAAGAGUACACACUAUCUGAUUCCACUGAAUAUGAAAUUCUAGAAGCAACCAAGCUAACUGAUAGGAAAAAAUUAGAACGGUGUUGGCCUCGGGGGAGGUGGGGUGUGGACUGACUGGAAAGGAGCCUGAGGAAACUUUCUGGGGUCACAGUGAUGUUCUCUCCUUUCACAGAGGUCUGGGUUAUCCAGGUGCAUCCCUCUGUCACACUCAGCAAAUGAAGAUCUGUGUAUUACAAUAUAUGCAAAUUUUAAAUCAAAAGAGAAAUAAAUGAAACAAAUCUUCGAUUGUAGUUAAUGAUAUCCAUGCUAAAGUAUUUAGGGGGUAGUAUAUUGAUGUUGUCAAUUUACUUUGAAAUGCAUCAAAAACUAAUAUGGGUUGAUGAAUGAAUGGACAGAUAUAUGAUAAGGCAAAUAUAAUAAAACUAGAGGCCCGGUGCAUGAAAUUCAUGCACAUGUAGGGUCCCUAGGCCUGCCCAGCGAUCAGGGCUGAUCAGGUUCCCUGCCUCCCCGCCUCCUCCUUCCCUCGCAGCCCAUGCCGCCACCCUCGCUCCCUCAGCACCCCACCACCACCGCUGGUCACUUGCCAUAUUCCACACCACUCCCUGGUGGUUAGUGCAUGUCAUAGCAAGCAAUCAAGCUCCCGGUUUCCCGGUUGAACUCCCAAGGGGACAAUUUGCAUAUUAGCCUUUUAUUAUAUUGGAUAAGAUGAAAGAAUGUAGGGGGCAGGUAUAUGAGUGUUCACUGUAAAAUCCUUCCAACUUCGCUGUAUUUUUUUACAUUUUCAUAAUAAAGUGCCAAGGGGAGAAAACACAGGAGAGACCCGCUGCCAUCUUCUAUCAACUCCCAACUCCCGGGAGCUCUGCCCCCUCCCCCUGUGGCUGAGCCAGCACCUCACUGGCUUCCCACUGUCAACAGGUACCCGAGAAGCUCUCUGCUUGCCUGUGCUCCCUCGCUGCCCAGGUGCAGUGAGUCCACUUUGGGGGAAAAGUGUCUCACACACACGUACGAGCUGUCUCUCAAACCCUUCUCUUCAUCCUCUCCCCCAGCUUCUCCUAGAUUAUCUCCAAAGAACCUCUCUCCGUUCCAUUUAUGAGUUAAAAACAACUUUAACAAUAGGGUGAGGAGAUAAAACAGUGCUACAAUUGCUCUAAAUGAGCCUAUCAUUCCCUAAGGAACAAAUUUUAAGUAAAAAACUAGUUUUUUUCUCCUUAAUUACUAUUUUAUUUUCACUAAAAAUUAAUAUUUUAGAAAUUCAUAUAUCCAAAACAGGUUUACUGAGUUUUCUGAAUUUAAAACUGCAUUUUGUAAAACUAAUUUUAAUAGCUGCAUUUCAUAACAAAUUCAAUGAAAAUGAUAAAGGAGAAAAAAUAAUAUUACUGGUACAUAUUUUUAAGCAUCUUCUUUCAGAUAUAUGGGUAUGUAUAGAUUUAUAUGUAUAUAUACACAACCCAGAUUAAAAUAGUUAUAAAGCUUCAGACUUUUCUUCCUAUUUUUCAAGUAUUUUCCCACACUAUUAGUCUUAAUAUAUGUAAUUUUUAUUGGCUUUGAACUGGUCCAUUUAGAGGGGUAUGCCAUAGUUUAUUUAACAAUUUCCAGGACAUUUAGGUUGUAGCCAAUUUAUCAUUUAUCAGAGAAUCUUAUUAACUGGACAGGACCUCUUGGCCUUAUAUCCCAUGAUUCUCUGCCUUCUCUUUUGAUUACCUGUGAGCUGUUUGAGAACAGAGACUGUAUAUUAUUGUUCUUUAUGUUCCCAACAGUGUCUCACAAAGCACUAAGUACCUAAAAGGUUUAAUACGUAUUCAAAUAUUUUUUAUUAACAGAUUAGAGGAGAAAAGCUUAAACUCAUUACUGAAGCAAAUAUCAUCACCUGUUUUAUGAUUAUCUAGUGAUGUAUGCUGAAAACAUUUUGGAAAAGUCAUUACCAUUUAAGGUCAUUUUUAAAAUGGGAGUGGGGGAUGGAUAAAUAAAAGGCUUUUGCAACUUUUUAAAAUGGCAUAUAGGUUAGAGCAGUGGUUCUCAACCUUCCUAAUGCCGCGACCCUUUAAUACAGUUCCUCAUGUUGUGGUGACCCCCAACCAUAAAAUUAUUUUCGUUGCUACUUCAUAACUGUAAUUUUGCUACUGUUAUGAAUCGAAAUGUAAAUAUCUGAUAUGCAGGAUGUAUUUCCAUUGUUACAAAUUGAACAUAAUUAAAGCAUAGUGAUUAAUCACAAAAACAA